CCUGCUUGAUCCUGCCAGUAGUUAUCUGUUUGUCUCAAAGAUUAAGCCAUGCAUGUGUAACGAUGAACUAAUUCAGACUGUGAAACUGCGAAUGGCUCAUUAAAUUAGUUAUAGUUUGUUUGAUGGUACCUACUACUUGGAUAACCGUAGUUCUUCUAGAGCUAAUACGUGCAACAAACCCCGACUUUUGGAAGGGAUGCAUUUAUUAAUAAAAGGUCGACGCGGGCUUUGCCCGUUGCUCUGAUUAUCUAUUAUAACUCGACAGAUCACACGGCCUUUGCACUAGCGACGCAUCAUUCAAAUUUCUGCCUAUCAACUUUCAAUGGCAGGAUAGUGGCCUACCAUGGUGGUGAUAGGUGACGGAGAAUUAGGUUUCGAUUUCGGAGAGUGAGCCUGAGAAAUGGCUAUCACAUCCAAGGAAGGCAGCAGGCGCGCAAAUUACCCAAUCCUAACGCGUGGAGGUAGUGAUAAUAAAUAACAAUACCGGGCUCUUCAAGUCUGGUAAUUGGAAUGAGUACAAUCUAAAUCCCUUAACGAGGAUCCAUUUGAGGGCAAGUCUGGUGCCAGCAACUGCGGUAAUUCUAGCUCCAAUAGUGUAUAUUUAAGUUGUUGUAGUUAAAAAGCUCGUAGUUGAACCUUGGGAUGGGCCGACUGGUCCACCUUACGGUGUGCACCGUUCAUCCUGCUCCUUCUGCCAGCGAUGCGCUUAUGGCCUUAACUGGCCGGGUCAUGCCACCAGCAGUGUUACUUUGAAGAAAUUAGAGUGCUCAAAGUAGGCCUACGCUCUGGAUACAUUAGCAUGGGAUAACAUCAUAGGAUUUUGGUCCUAUUGUGUUGGCCUUUGGGAUCGGAGUAAUGAUUAACAGAGACAAUCGGGGGCAUUCGUAUUUCAUAGUCAAAGGAGAAAUUCUUGGAUUUAUGAAAGAUGAACAACUGCGAAAGUAUUUGCUAAUGAUGUUUUUAUUAAUCAAGAACAAAAGUUGGUGGCUCGAAGAUGAUCAGAUACCGUCCUAGUCUCAACCAUAAACGAUGCCGACCAGGGAUCGGUGGAUGUUGCUUUUAGGACGCCGCAGGCACCUUAUGAGAAAUCAAAGUUUUGAGUUCUGCGGGGGGUAUGGUCGUAAGGCUAAAACCAAAAGGAAUUGACGGAAGGGCACCACCAAGAGUCGAGCCUACGGCUUAAUUUGACUCAACACGGGGAAACUUACCAGGUCCAGAUAUAGUAAGAAUUGAUAGAAUGAGAGCUCUUUCUUGAUUGUACGGGUGGUGGUGCAUGGCCGUUCUUAGUUGCUGGAGCAAUUUGUCUGGUUAAUUCCAUUAACAAACGAGACCUCAGCUUGCUAACCAGCUACGUGGAGGUAACCCUUCACAGAUAGCUUCUUAGAGGGACUAUGGCCUUCCAAGACACGGAAGUUUGAGGCAAUAACAGGUCUGUGAUGCCCGUCGAUGUUCUGGGCCACACGCCUGCUAGAUGUACUCAAUGAGUCUACAGCCUUGGCCGACGGGCUCGAGUAUUCUUUAAAAUUUCAUCGUGAUGGGGAUAGAUCAUUGCAAUUGUUAGUCUUCAACGAGGAAUUCCUAGUAAAUGCGAGUCAUCAGCUCGCGUUGACCGUGUCCCUUCCCUUUGUACAUAUAUGCAUAUACAUACAUAUAUGUAUAUGUAUGCAUUUAUAUGUAUACACACACAC
rnacentral:rRNA from 1 species